rnacentral:rRNA from 1 species
UACGUAGGGGGCAAGCGUUGUCCGGAAUCAUUGGGCGUAAAGAGCGUGUAGGUGGCUCGGUAAGUCCGCUGUGAAAGUCCAGGGCUCAACCCUGGAAUGCCGGUGGAAACUGUCGAGCUAGAGUCCGGAAGAGGCGAGUGGAAUUCCUGGUGUAGCGGUGAAAUGCGCAGAUAUCAGGAGGAACACCGGUGGCGAAGGCGAUUUUCUAGCUUAUUCCUGACGCUGAGGCGCGAGAGCAAGGGGAGCAAACAGG